CGCUGGCGGUAUGCCUAAUACAUGCAAGUCGAACGCUGAAACACUCUGCUUGCAGAGUGUGGAUGAGUGGCGAACGGGUGAGUAACACGUGGGGAACCUGCCCAUAAGAGGGGGAUAACAUCCGGAAACGGGUGCUAAUACCGCAUAGGUGAUCAUAGCGCAUGCUUAGAUCAUUAAAGAUGGCUUCGGCUAUCGCUUAUGGAUGGCCCCGCGGCGUAUUAGCUAGUUGGUGAGGUAAUGGCUCACCAAGGCUGUGAUACGUAGCCGACCUGAGAGGGUGAUCGGCCACACUGGAACUGAGACACGGUCCAGACUCCUACGGGAGGCAGCAGUAGGGAAUCUUCCACAAUGGGCGAAAGCCUGAUGGAGCAAUACCGCGUGAGUGAAGAAGGUCUUCGGAUCGUAAAGCUCUGUUGUUAGAGAAGAACAAGAGGUGUAGUAACUGGCACCUCCUUGACGGUAUCUAACCAGAAAGUCACGGCUAACUACGUGCCAGCAGCCGCGGUAAUACGUAGGUGACAAGCGUUGUCCGGAUUUAUUGGGCGUAAAGCGAGCGCAGGCGGUCUUUUAAGUCUGAUGUGAAAGCCCACGGCUCACCGUGGAGGGUCAUUGGAAACUGGAAGACUUGAAUGCAGAAGAGGAAAGUGGAAUUCCAUGUGUAGCGGUGAAAUGCGUAAAUAUAUGGAGGAACACCAGUGGCGAAGGCGACUUUCUGGUCUGUAAUUGACCC
rnacentral:rRNA from 1 species